rnacentral:rRNA from 1 species
UGGGGAAUAUUGGACAAUGGGCGCAAGCCUGAUCCAGCCAUGCCGCGUGAGUGAUGAAGGCCCUAGGGUUGUAAAGCUCUUUCACCGGUGAAGAUAAUGACGGUAACCGGAGAAGAAGCCCCGGCUAACUUCGUGCCAGCAGCCGCGGUAAUACGAAGGGGGCUAGCGUUGUUCGGAUUUACUGGGCGUAAAGCGCACGUAGGCGGACUAUUAAGUCAGGGGUGAAAUCCCGGGGCUCAACCCCGGAACUGCCUUUGAUACUGGUAGUCUUGAGUUCGAGCGAGUUGCGUGGAAUUCCGAGUGUAGAGGUGAAAUUCGUAGAUAUUCGGAGGAACACCAGUGGCGAAGGCGGCUCACUGGCUCGAUACUGACGCUGAGGUGCGAAAGCGUGGGGAGCAAACAGG